GACGAACGCUGGCGGCGUGCUUAACACAUGCAAGUGGAGCGACGAACCAGGCUUCGGCCUGGGGCAGAGCCGCGAACGGGUGAGUAACACGUGGGUAACCUGCCCUGAUGAUCGGGACAACCCGGGGAACCGGGCUAAUACCGAAUGUGCCCGCGAGCCGCAAGGCUUGCGAGGAAAGGAAGCUUCGGCCUCCGCAUCGGGAUGGGCCCGCGGCCCAUUAGCUUGUUGGGUGGGGUAACGGCCUACCAAGGCAGCAAUGGGUAGCUGGUCUGAGAGGACGAUCAGCCACACUGGGACUGAGACACGG
rnacentral:rRNA from 1 species